GACGAACGCUGGCGGCGUGCUUAACACAUGCAAGUCGAACGGAAAGGCCCUGCUUUUGUGGGGUGCUCGAGUGGCGAACGGGUGAGUAACACGUGAGUAACCUGCCCUUGACUUUGGGAUAACUUCAGGAAACUGGGGCUAAUACCGGAUAGGAGCUCCUGCUGCAUGGUGGGGGUUGGAAAGUUUCGGCGGUUGGGGAUGGACUUGCGACUUAUCAGCUUGUUGGUGGGGUAGUGGCUUACCAAGGCUUUGACGGGUAGCCGGCCUGAGAGGGUGACCGGCCACAUUGGGACUGAGAUACGGCCCAGACUCCUACGGGAGGCAGCAGUGGGGAAUAUUGCACAAUGGGCGGAAGCCUGAUGCAGCAACGCCGCGUGCGGGAUGACGGCCUUCGGGUUGUAAACCGCUUUCGCCUGUGACGAAGCGUGAGUGACGGUAAUGGGUAAAGAAGCACCGGCUAACUACGUG
rnacentral:rRNA from 1 species